rnacentral:rRNA from 1 species
CCUACGGGAGGCAGCAGUGGGGACUAUUGGGCAAUGGGCGCAAGCCUGACCCAGCAACGCCGCGUGAAGGAAGAAGGCUUUCGGGUUGUAAACUUCUUUUGUCAGGGAAGAGUAGAAGACGGUACCUGACGAAUAAGCCACGGCUAACUACGUGCCAGCAGCCGCGGUAAUACGUAGGUGGCAAGCGUUGUCCGGAUUUACUGGUUGUAAAGGGCGUGUAGCCGGGUUGACAAGUCAGAUGUGAAAUCCUGCGGCUUAACCGCAGAACUGCAUUUGAAACUGUUGAUCUUGAGUACUGGAGAGGCAGACGGAAUUCCUAGUGUAGCGGUGAAAUGCGUAGAUAUUAGGAGGAACACCAGUGGCGAAGGCGGUCUGCUGGACAGCAACUGACGGUGAGGCGCGAAAGCGUGGGGAGCAAACAGGAGUAGAUACCCCAGUAGUC